UCCGUAGGCGGGCGACUAAGUCAGAGGUGAAAUCCCACAGCUUAACUGUGGAACUGCCUUUGAUACUGGUUGUCUUGAGUUAUAGUGAAGUAGAUAGAAUAUGUAGUGUAGCGGUGAUAUGCUUAGAUAUUACAUAGAAUACCGAUUGCGAAGGCAGUCUACUAACUAUAUACUGACGCUAAUGGACGAAAGCGUGGGGAGCGAACAGGAUUAGAUACCCUGGUAGUCC
rnacentral:rRNA from 1 species